rnacentral:lncRNA from 1 species
CGUGCCACAUAAGGGGGUGGGCCCCUCAUGCAAUAUCCAUCGGAUUGGCACCCCAUGGUCCUGCCAAAAAUAAAGAUAGGCGCCACCUAUUCUUUCCAUUUAUUCCACACACCACUUAGAGAUAAUUAGGAGAUAAUGUAGAGAUAAUAAGGAGAUAAUCCAUACCAACUCAUUGACAUAAUCCAAUCUUCUUGGGGUCAUAAUUAAGUGCCUAAUUAAAUCCAAAUGGAUUUAGAUCAGGUUCAAAGCUAUGGACUUGAUCCAAUCAAAGUCCCGAGAAGAAUGUGGUUUAACCAUGUGCUAGCAUGGUUCUAUUAAAACCCAAUAGGAUUUCAAUAAAUCCUAAUCUAAUUAGAACUUCAUAAGCUCAAUUGGCAAAUUUAAGAUUAAAUCCUCAAUGUGUGACCCCAUAGGUUUCAUUCUAUCUGAUAGUGAGAUA